GUCACCGCCUCUCUCGCCUUCCCGUCUCUAAACAAAUAACAUACGCUCCAAAGUAUCGUCACGGCAUGCUCCGUCGCCUCUACCGAUACUUUGAACAAUUUCUGCAGCACUGCUUCGAUGCACGCCAUGUCACCGCACAUCUCUACUCUCCCCUCCUUGCAGGACGACACCGUUUCGAGCAGCUUCAACGCCUUCUCAGUGAUCGAGUUUGAAACUCCUGUGUUUGGCUCCGCCCUUAGUAUGUUUUUCAAUUCUGGAAUUGUUUUGAGAUGGACUAGCUUUACUUUGACGCGUUUCGACUUCGAAAUCGCGAUUAGACAUGAUAAGCUCGCUUCAAUUAAGCUCGGAUCGGUU
rnacentral:misc_RNA from 1 species